UGACACAGCAACGACAUAGCUCGUUUGCCACGUACGUUUCGUCCCCGCUGGACUCAUCAGGCAAUCUUCUUCUUGGAUGUCUUCAUACGGAGCUUGACUCGGUCGAAUGAAGUUGAAGACACCACUGCAGCUGUACUUAUGGCUGGCACAUAGAAGAUUACACAGCAACGACAUAGCUCGAUUGCGACGUACGUUUCGUCCUCGAUAUUUUUCACAAUUUCAGCAGUUAAGGUCCAAGACUGGCAAGCAUAAAGGAAUAUGGCUGAUAAAUAUGGUGGUAAAGACACACCUGGCAAUAUGGCGGUAAACACACGCUCUCUAGCCUCCAAAGUUCUGGCACAGAGCUCUCCUUUUCACCACCACCACCAUCACUUCGCGCCUGGUCGAUGCAUGGUUGGCGGUAUCCGGCAUAGCAGGCUGGCACAUCAAGUAGUGCAUGGCACAUAGAGGACGACACAGCAACGACAUAGCUCGAUUGCGAUGUACGUUUCGUCCCCGCUGGACUCAUCCUUCUCGGGCCUGGCGCCUGGUCGAUGCAUGGUUGGCGGUAUCCGGCAUAGCAGGCUGGCACAUCAAGUAGUGCAUGGCACAUAGAGGACGACACAGCAACGACAUAGCUCGAUUGCGAUGUACGUUUCGUCCCCGCUGGACUCAUCCUUCUCGGGCCUGGCGCCUGGUCGAUGCAUGGUUGGCGGUAUCCGGCAUAGCAGGCUGGUACAUCAAGUAGUGCAUGGCACAUAGAAGAUGACACAGCAACGACAUAGCUCGAUUGCGACGUACGUUUCGUCCCCGCUGGACUCAUCAGGCAAUCUUCUUCUUGGAUGUCUUCAUACUGAGCUUGACUCGGUCGAAUGAAGUUGAAGACACCACUGCAGCUGUACUUAUGGCUGAUAAAUAUGGUGGUAAAGACACACCUGGCAAUAUGGCGGUAAACACACGCCUGCCCACACACGCUCUCUAGCGUCCAAAGUUCUGGCACAGAGCUCUCCUUCUCACCACCUGUCGCGAAGCGAGAUAGUUUAAUUUUGCUAUUUUACAUGUUUCAGUUCAUGUUUCGGCACUGCAGCAAUCUGUAGCUUUCUCUUAGUUUAUACGGUAAAUAUUGCACUGUGAACUCUGUACGGCAAGUUCUGCCACAUGCACAGUUUGUAGCCUCAGACCCUCUAGGUUUACACAGCCAUGCCAGAGCUCGCAUUUUUCCCAACUGCUGCAUACUGCUCUCCCAAAAUAAUGAAGUGCGCGUGCUCCAUACGAUGUUGCACUGCCACGUUCACUUAUCGUAUAAAUUCUCUUUCAGUCCGAGCAAAUAAAUCAGUUAUCAACUCAUCUCCUAACUGUGCACUUGCGGGUUUGUGCCGGUUAGUGACAUGGUGCCGAAACCUGCUUCCUAGUUCCUCGCCACUGCCCCCAACCGAGCCUUGCUCCUGGUUGACUCGCCCUUUGGGGCUUGAGUUGUGAAAAUGGGCGACACAAGAUUGCCGACGGCUAUCCAGACGAGCAAGCGUGCUCUCAAGCUCCUGUACGAAGAGCUGCAGGAGGAGACGACAGUCGGCGAAGAUCUGCUAGCAGGAACCAAACCCGUCAACCAGAUAAGUCCGUUUCUUUGUGGGUUAAAGGAAUUGUUGGAAAGAACGGAAGCUAACUUGGAUGAUUUUGUUGAGAAUGUCGAGGAAUAUGAGCCAAAGGGUAAAGACAACAAAGAGAUAAAGAAUGGUUUGGAGGAUGAGGCUGGGUUAUGGACAGAGACACUAGAGAAGGGUUUCAAACUCCAGAGAAAAUUGAGAAAAAUGGAAUUGGAGUCAGGCGUCCAGCCUACAAUGCAGACAGACUCUACCUUGCUUGAGAUUACGAAAUUGAUUGGGACGCAAGCUAACACCCAAGAGUCAACCCAAAAUCUUCUAAAGAGAUUGGUAGAGCGGGAUACUAGACCCAUAGUAGAGCAGGAUACUAGAACCGAAUCGAAGCCCCAGACAACUGCCAGAUUACCCAAAUUGGAGCUAAAGCAUUUUGAUGGGGACAUAAUGGAGUUCCAAGAGUUUUGGAACAUUUUCGAUGCUACUAUUCAUGACAACUCCUCCUUGUCACCAGUUGAAAAAUUGAUCUAUCUCCGUGAAUGUGUGGGAGGGAAAGCACAAGACGUGCUGAAAGGUUUAAGAAUCUGUAAUGCAAAUUAUGAAGUUGCCCGGGAUCUGCUUGAGAAGAGGUACGGGAGUAAGCAAGCUAUGGUGGAUGCCCACUACACUGCUUUAAUGGAGAUGUCGGCCUGCACCUCAAAAAUCGAAAGUUUGAGGUCCUGUGUUGACAAAAUUGAAGUGCACCUCAGGAGCCUUGAAGCACAAGAUGAGGAUGUAUUGCAAAAGGUGUUCAUUACAAUAAUCUUGAGCAAGCUCCCGAGUGAUGUGAAAUUACAACUUGAGCUCACCAAACAGAACGAUGAAUGGACUAUUAGUGAGUUGCGUUUGGCACUAUCGCACUUACUAAAGGCAAAAGAGAAUGCAGAAGGACCAGCCGCAUGCAAAGGUCAACAAUCAUGGCAACAUGCCAAUCACUCAAAGAAGAUACUAUCAACAGGGCAGUCUCUACUUGCGGGUGCUGGUGUAGCUCGUACUAUCAAAUGUAUGUAUUGUGAUGGAAAGCAUUACUCUGAUGAAUGUCAAAUGUACAAAUCGCUAGAUGAACGGAAAACACGGUUGGGUAUGAAAUGCUACAUCUGUCUGAAAGCGGGACAUGGAGCAAGAGCUUGCAUGAAUGCUAGAACAUGCUACCAUUGCAAACGCAAAUCCCACCACAGAAGUCUGUGUCUACAGAAGUUCAAGUCAAAUGAAGAGCGAACAAAUGAUGGAAAGCAUCAUGGUGAUGGACAAAAACAGGCACACACUUUGAAUGCAAUGGCAGAGACAUUUGAACCAACACAAGAUGAGGCAAUGGUUUCUCACACACAAGGGCACAGGGUUCUAAUGCAAACUGCUUUGACUACUGCAACAAAUGAGGAAGGCAACAGGUCACAGACUGUAAGGAUCUUGUUUGACACGGGUUCAUCGAGAACAUACGUCAGUGAGAAUGUCAGCAAAGCAUUGGGACUCAAACAAGAGGGAAGUGACAGAAUUUCACUUGCAACCUUUGGUGCAACACACAGAUCGGUAAAGGAAUACCCUGUAGUCAAUUUGCACAUCAAGCAGAAGAAUGGUGAAUUAGCUUCCAUACAGGCAAAUGUUAUCAACAACAUUUCGUGUCCACUACAGAAAGUACCUUUGAGCACAGCAAAGCACUCUAGCUUACAGAAGCUUAUCUUAGCAGAGCCUCUAUGCAAUACACCUGAAGCAAUGCCUAUUGAUAUCUUAAUUGGAGCAGACCAAUACUUUCAAUUUGUUGGCAACGAAAGAUUGGAAUACCCAGAUGGUCUCAUUUUGAUCGAUUCCACUCUUGGGUUUUUGGUGGCAGGCAAGGUGAAAUCGAACGGAAAUGGUGAUCACACACUAAUGUGCCACGAGGCGCUCUCGUUAGUUGCGACAGAAGCAUGUGCACCGAAAGAAUUCGACUUGGAACGUUUUUGGAAUCUUGAAAAUGUUGGCAUCAGUGAGAAAGAAAUGGAAACGGAGUAUGAUCAAGUCAAAGGUAACCGCACGAAAGUUCUAGGCAUGGGCUGGGAUACCGAGGAUGACGUAAUUUGGGUACCACCGCCAAGGGCAUUUCAUGAGAUCGAAACAAAACGUCAGCUACUGCAAUGUAUUUCGUCAGUAUUCGACCCAAUGGGUGUAGUCAGUCCUGUCACGGUUGAGGCGAAAAUCAUCAUGCAGGAGCUUUGGAAGAGAAAAUUUGGGUGGGAUGAUAUCUUACCAGAUGAUGUACGCAAAGAAUGCCAGAAAUUGUGUGAUUCACUGCUGUCACUUAGUGGAAUAAAAUUGCCAAGGUUUGUGGGUACUCGAAGUGAUGACGGUUCAACUCCAAAGUAUGAACUACACGUUUUUACUGACGCAUCCGCACAUGCGUAUGGUGCUGCUGCGUACCUACUCACUACUUGUGGCGAUAAUGUUUCAGUCGACCUGAUAUUUAGCAAGAGUCGCAUUGCGCCAACCAAGCCCACAUCCAUUCCUAGGUUGGAACUCUUUGCUGUAGUACUUGGUACAAAGAUGGUCAAAUUUCUUAGAGAGCAAGUACCAUUCGAGCUCAGCAAGACGCACAUAUGGACCGACUCAAAAUGUGCACUAGCAUGGGUAACGGGAAAUCAACAGCGGCCGCAAUUUAUUGCAAGAAGAAUUAAAACCAUUCACGAGGUGAAUAAUGUCAUGUACGGUCAUGUUUCUGGGAAAGAAAAUCCAGCUGAUAUUGUUUCUCGAGGAGCUAAUGCAACGAGUUUACAGCAGAACACCUUGUGGUGGGAGGGUCCAACGUGGUUGAAGUCUGGUUCCUAUCCAGAAAGUAUGUUUCCAGCAAUGCAAGCGACGGGAAGUGAAAUGCCAAUUUGCGAGGAAAAUGCGGACGAAGGUCCCUCUCCCGAAUCGGCCUUUGUUAGCAAUGAACACAAUGAGGUAGUCAACUGUGAGAAGUUCUCCUCGUUUUCUAAGCUUGUGAGAGUGAACGCAUGGGUACAACGAUUCAUACGGAAACUCAAACACGAAAAGUCGGAAAGUGAAACGAAUCUCACAGCUGAAGAAAUCGCAAUGUCAAGAGUAGCUAUCAUUCGGUAUCAUCAAGCUCAGCACUUUGGAAAUGAAAUCAAGGCAAUAGAACAAGGCAAGCGACAUCAGCUCGUCGAUGCUUUGGGUCUCUUCCUUGAUAAUGGUUUAAUCCGAUGUAAGGGUAGACUGGAGUAUUCUCACCUACCAUUCGAAAGUAAAUUUCCUCUAUUGCUAGCUUAUGGUUCACACUUAACAAGGUUAAUUGUAAUGGAACAGCAUACCUCACUUAAACAUUCGGGUGUUAGUCAGACAUUGGCUGAAUUGAGACGGAAUUACUGGGUGCCUAAAGGUCGAGCAAUGGUUAGACGGGUGAUUAAGGAAUGUCUUUUGUGUAAACGCCAUCAUGGAAAGCCAUUUGCAACACCACCAUUUGCACCUUUGCCUGAGGAACGGCUUGUCCCUGGGAGGGUGUUCGAAUCUGUUGGUCUUGAUUACUUUGGGCCAAUGUAUGUGAAAAUGGAAACUGAAACAGCUAAAGUGUGGGUAUGCAUCCUCACUUGCCUAACUACCAGAGCUAUUCAUAUGGAAUUAGUUCGCAAUAUGUCUACUGAGCAAUUCCUAAUGUGUUUCAGACGGUUCAUUUCACGAAGAGGUACACCGAAGUACAUAGUAAGUGAUAAUGCCAAGCAAUUCAAGCUGUCUAAGAAUGUUAUUGAUCUUCUCUGGCUUGAGUCAAUUCAACAUAAUGAUGUAAUGGAAUUCAUUGCGGGCAAAGGUAUUAAAUGGAAAUACAUCACUGAGUUAGCUCCUUGGAUGGGUGGUGUUUACGAACGCAUGAUUGGUAUUGUGAAACGAUCUCUGAAGAAAUCAAUUGGAACUGGACAGCUUACAUUCUGCCAACUUGAAACUUUGCUAAUUGAAAUUGAGGCAAUUGUCAAUUCUAGACCACUGGUAUACGUUGGUGAGGACUUCACAAUCGAUCAUGUUCUCACGCCUGCCAAUUUCUUAACUGGGCAUAGUUCUCUUGGUCAGCCUAACUUUGUCAUUACAGAUGACCCUGACUACAUCACACAUGUCAGUAAUGCUCAACAACUCGUCAACCUGUGGAAACAGCAGCAGAAAUGUCUCAACAUUUUCUGGGAGAAGUGGUCGACAGAGUAUUUGCAGUCACUACGACCACAACAACACAGUCAACGAAAUUCCAAUAGCUUCAAGCCAAGUGUCAACUGCAUUGUUCUGAUCAAGGAUGUUGAUCGGCCGCGCAGCUGCUGGAAAAUAGGAAGAAUCGCGCAGCUACACCAAAGCACAGACGGCGAAGUGCGAUCAGUGACGCUACGUAUGCCAUCUGGGAGUUCCAUGAACCGGCCGGUAAGCCAUCUCUAUCCGUUAGAGUGUUCAUCAGGCGAAGUAACCACUGCAGAAGUGCCAGAGCCUGCAAUUGCGCCACUGCCUGAACGCCCGCGACGCAAUGCAGCAACAGCAGCUACAAUGCGCACCCGUGAUCUGAUCGAAGAUGGACAAGUAUAGUAGCCAUGUGAAUUAACUGCAUGUAACCUGGUACUUAUUUGAACAGUUGCCAGUGUUCUUGGUUAUGUUUUUCUAAAUUUAAUUAUGAUAGUAAUAUCUACAUUGCUUACGGUUCAGUUAUUGAGUCUCAUCAUGCAAACCUAGGGCAUGUUCGAUUGUACGAAUCCAUCAGCCCCGGACCCGGAUUCGCCAAAUUUGUGCAUGUUCGAUUGUACGAAUCCGGAUCCCGAGAGCACGGAUUCGGAUCCAGUCAACCCACCUCCCAGAGACGGAUUCGACGGAUUCGACAGAUUCAUUUCGAUAGUACGACUCGCAUCUACUCAAAACUCGCAAUAUGCGUACACUAGGUCAAGAGUUUACCACAACGCGUACAGAUACUACGGGAUGAGCUGUAGCAACGCGGUUGCUAAGGCCUUGAAACGGAUUAUCGGUUGUGCACAUUCGAUUGUAUCCGUCCGAUCGAAGUGAUCUGGUCGGCGGGGAUCGGGAUCCAGUUUCUACAAUCGAAUGCAGCCCUAGCUCUCGAUUAAUUAAGGUUGAAUUGUGACAUACCGUAAAUACUGUAGCAGUAAUGAUGAAACUAGCUCCAGAACUUCGAAUUGCUUAGAUAUAGUUUCUUGCAUUUGUUCUUUCAGUAUUGAAGUAUUUCCAGAUGGAAAUCUGUUUCAGCUCUCUAGUCUUUUAACAUGGUUCUUACGGCAUCACACAAAUUAUGUGUUACUUAUCUUUGCGGCGGGAGUGUCGCGAAGCGAGAUAGUUUAAUUUUGCUAUUUUACAUGUUUCAGUUCAUGUUUCGGCACUGCAGCAAUCUGUAGCUUUCUCUUAGUUUAUACGGUAAAUAUUGCACUGUGAACUCUGUACGGCAAGUUCUGCCACAUGCACAGUUUGUAGCCUCAGACCCUCUAGGUUUACACAGCCAUGCCAGAGCUCGCAUUUUUCCCAACUGCUGCAUACUGCUCUCCCAAAAUAAUGAAGUGCGCGUGCUCCAUACGAUGUUGCACUGCCACGUUCACUUAUCGUAUAAAUUCUCUUUCAGUCCGAGCAAAUAAAUCAGUUAUCAACUCA